AUUGAACGCUGGCGGCAGGCUUAACACAUGCAAGUCGAACGAGUGGCGGACGGGUGAGUAAUGCUUGGGAAACUGGCUGAUGGAGGGGGAUAACGACUGGAAACUGUAGCUAAUACCGCGUACCAUCGGAUGUGCCCAAGUGGGAUUAGGUAGUAGGUGGGGUAAGGGCUCACCUAGGCGACGAUCCCUAGCUGGUCUGAGAGGAUGACCAUCCACACUGGGACUGAGACACGGCCCAGAAUCCUACGGGAGGCAGCAGUGGGGAAGAUUGCGCAAUGGGGGCAACCCUGACGCAGCCAUGCCGCGUGUAUGAAGAAGGCCUUCGGGUUGUAAAGUACUUUCGGUGAGGAGGCGUUAAUCGCAGAAGAAGCACCGGCUAACUCCGUGCCAGCAGCCGCGGUAAUUC
rnacentral:rRNA from 1 species